AGCGGCAUACCAAGUAAGAAACAUCGGGAGAUAUACGCCUUUUUGUUGAAUGGAAUACUCCAGAAGAACCAGCAUCGCUGGCAGGACCUUCAGAGGCAAACGAAACUACAAGAUUACAAUGUUAAGCAUGGAAGACUCCCUGUGGGGGACGAAGAAUUAUCGGACACGAAUGGCGUAGGAGCUGAUAAGAGAUUUCGUUCUCUUUUAUCGCCAAAUGGAAGGACACACCCUGAAGAAUUUACUUUAAGUGAAGGUCAGAUCAAAUCCAGGAGAACGUGGAGUAAUUCUUGCAGUAAAAACGCGGCGAGGCGAUGCAAGAGGGCCUGUAUCCGCGCCUUUAAAAACGUAUGCUACACAUACAAGUGCGCGAGACGCGUCAAAAGACGUUACCGAAGGGAAUGCAGAAAGACGUGCAGAAAUAAAUUUGUAUACGAUAAAUAUUAUAGUGAAGGAUAUUCCAGCGAUGAUUCUUAUAGCGAAUAAAAAUUAAAUGUAAUUUUCGUUGUGAAGUUACUUUAUUAGACAUGUUACAUUUUCGUUUUUGAAGUUAUACUUCUUUAGGCGCGUUAUGAAAAAUUGAUGAGAGUGAAAUUUUACGAUGCGCGCGCACCGUGACACAAAAUUAACAGAAUGAAGUUGCCCACUAAAUCGCUCAUUACAAUACGACCGACGUAACUUGGCGAGUCUGAAUAUAGCCGGCAGGUGAACUUUCCGAACCGUACCGAGAAUUACCGAAUUUAUACGAUGUCAAGAAAAGGGAUGUCCAAUAUGCGUGUUUGAGGAUGUUGUUUAAUCGAUUUUUUUUCAAAUUGAUUAAAAUUUAAAUAAAAAAAAGAAAUAAAUUUAAUAAAAAUAAA